GGGUUGUGAGGUUAAGCGACUAAGCGUACACGGUGGAUGCCCUGGCAGUCAGAGGCGAUGAAGGACGUGCUAAUCUGCGAUAAGCGUCGGUAAGGUGAUAUGAACCGUUAUAACCGGCGAUUUCCGAAUGGGGAAACCCAGUGUGUUUCGACACACUAUCAUUAACUGAAUCCAUAGGUUAAUGAGGCGAACCGGGGGAACUGAAACAUCUAAGUACCCCGAGGAAAAGAAAUCAACCGAGAUUCCCCCAGUAGCGGCGAGCGAACGGGGAGGAGCCCAGAGCCUGAAUCAGUGUGUGUGUUAGUGGAAGCGUCUGGAAAGGCGCGCGAUACAGGGUGACAGCCCCGUACACAAAAAUGCACAUACUGUGAGCUCGAUGAGUAGGGCGGGACACGUGGUAUCCUGUCUGAAUAUGGGGGGACCAUCCUCCAAGGCUAAAUACUCCUGACUGACCGAUAGUGAACCAGUACCGUGAGGGAAAGGCGAAAAGAACCCCGGCGAGGGGAGUGAAAAAGAACCUGAAACCGUGUACGUACAAGCAGUGGGAGCCUCUUUUAUGGGGUGACUGCGUACCUUUUGUAUAAUGGGUCAGCGACUUAUAUUCUGUAGCAAGGUUAACCGAAUAGGGGAGCCGAAGGGAAACCGAGUCUUAACUGGGCGUUAAGUUGCAGGGUAUAGACCCGAAACCCGGUGAUCUAGCCAUGGGCAGGUUGAAGGUUGGGUAACACUAACUGGAGGACCGAACCGACUAAUGUUGAAAAAUUAGCGGAUGACUUGUGGCUGGGGGUGAAAGGCCAAUCAAACCGGGAGAUAGCUGGUUCUCCCCGAAAGCUAUUUAGGUAGCGCCUCGUGAACUCAUCUCCGGGGGUAGAGCACUGUUUCGGCAAGGGGGUCAUCCCGACUUACCAACCCGAUGCAAACUGCGAAUACCGGAGAAUGUUAUCACGGGAGACACACGGCGGGUGCUAACGUCCGUCGUGAAGAGGGAAACAACCCAGACCGCCAGCUAAGGUCCCAAAGUCAUGGUUAAGUGGGAAACGAUGUGGGAAGGCCCAGACAGCCAGGAUGUUGGCUUAGAAGCAGCCAUCAUUUAAAGAAAGCGUAAUAGCUCACUGGUCGAGUCGGCCUGCGCGGAAGAUGUAACGGGGCUAAACCAUGCACCGAAGCUGCGGCAGCGACACUAUGUGUUGUUGGGUAGGGGAGCGUUCUGUAAGCCUGUGAAGGUGUGCUGUGAGGCAUGCUGGAGGUAUCAGAAGUGCGAAUGCUGACAUAAGUAACGAUAAAGCGGGUGAAAAGCCCGCUCGCCGGAAGACCAAGGGUUCCUGUCCAACGUUAAUCGGGGCAGGGUGAGUCGACCCCUAAGGCGAGGCCGAAAGGCGUAGUCGAUGGGAAACAGGUUAAUAUUCCUGUACUUGGUGUUACUGCGAAGGGGGGACGGAGAAGGCUAUGUUGGCCGGGCGACGGUUGUCCCGGUUUAAGCGUGUAGGCUGGUUUUCCAGGCAAAUCCGGAAAAUCAAGGCUGAGGCGUGAUGACGAGGCACUACGGUGCUGAAGCAACAAAUGCCCUGCUUCCAGGAAAAGCCUCUAAGCAUCAGGUAACAUCAAAUCGUACCCCAAACCGACACAGGUGGUCAGGUAGAGAAUACCAAGGCGCUUGAGAGAACUCGGGUGAAGGAACUAGGCAAAAUGGUGCCGUAACUUCGGGAGAAGGCACGCUGAUAUGUAGGUGAAGUCCCUCGCGGAUGGAGCUGAAAUCAGUCGAAGAUACCAGCUGGCUGCAACUGUUUAUUAAAAACACAGCACUGUGCAAACACGAAAGUGGACGUAUACGGUGUGACGCCUGCCCGGUGCCGGAAGGUUAAUUGAUGGGGUCAGCGCAAGCGAAGCUCUUGAUCGAAGCCCCGGUAAACGGCGGCCGUAACUAUAACGGUCCUAAGGUAGCGAAAUUCCUUGUCGGGUAAGUUCCGACCUGCACGAAUGGCGUAAUGAUGGCCAGGCUGUCUCCACCCGAGACUCAGUGAAAUUGAACUCGCUGUGAAGAUGCAGUGUACCCGCGGCAAGACGGAAAGACCCCGUGAACCUUUACUAUAGCUUGACACUGAACAUUGAGCCUUGAUGUGUAGGAUAGGUGGGAGGCUUAGAAGUGUGGACGCCAGUCUGCAUGGAGCCGACCUUGAAAUACCACCCUUUAAUGUUUGAUGUUCUAACGUGGACCCGUGAUCCGGGUUGCGGACAGUGUCUGGUGGGUAGUUUGACUGGGGCGGUCUCCUCCUAAAGAGUAACGGAGGAGCACGAAGGUUGGCUAAUCCUGGUCGGACAUCAGGAGGUUAGUGCAAUGGCAUAAGCCAGCUUGACUGCGAGCGUGACGGCGCGAGCAGGUGCGAAAGCAGGUCAUAGUGAUCCGGUGGUUCUGAAUGGAAGGGCCAUCGCUCAACGGAUAAAAGGUACUCCGGGGAUAACAGGCUGAUACCGCCCAAGAGUUCAUAUCGACGGCGGUGUUUGGCACCUCGAUGUCGGCUCAUCACAUCCUGGGGCUGAAGUAGGUCCCAAGGGUAUGGCUGUUCGCCAUUUAAAGUGGUACGCGAGCUGGGUUUAGAACGUCGUGAGACAGUUCGGUCCCUAUCUGCCGUGGGCGCUGGAGAACUGAGGGGGGCUGCUCCUAGUACGAGAGGACCGGAGUGGACGCAUCACUGGUGUUCGGGUUGUCAUGCCAAUGGCACUGCCCGGUAGCUAAAUGCGGAAGAGAUAAGUGCUGAAAGCAUCUAAGCACGAAACUUGCCCCGAGAUGAGUUCUCCCUGACCCUUUAAGGGUCCUGAAGGAACGUUGAAGACGACGACGUUGAUAGGCCGGGUGUGUAAGCGCAGCGAUGCGUUGAGCUAACCGGUACUAAUGAACCGUGAGGCUUAACCUUACAACGCCGAAGCUGUU
rnacentral:rRNA from 1 species